CAAUCCCUCAGGAUACAUUCUCUGAGCACUCGACUUGGUGGGAGUUUCAGGAAAUUCUGCAACAAGGCAGAGGGAGGAGGCUGGGAGAAGUUGAGAGAAAUGCUCAGACAGUAUGGGGGAGGAGGAGGCAAUCUGGAAAUCUUGCACUGAAAAAGGUUGGAACAUAUCUCUCUUCCACCUUCCUUCGUAAGGAGCCUCCACCAUUGGUCUGCUAUUUCUCCCCAACUUUCAGUCAGGGCUGUCUGAUGGAUUAAAUAGUGUCGUGAAUGUGAAAGAGCUCUAUACGCCAUUCAGUGCAAAGAAGAUAUGAA
rnacentral:lncRNA from 1 species